CCCCACAAUAUAACCCUGGACCCCUCAAUAAUGCAUCUGAUCCCUCGUGAAACCCAAUACAUCUGCCCCUAUAUAACCACAGCUCUGUCUCAAAAAUGCAUCUGCCUUCAUAUAACCCCAUGCCCUUCAAUAACACAUCUGAUACCCCAUAUAAUCCAAACUCCUAAGGACGCAUCUCUCUCUUAUAACCCCAUUCCCUGGAGCCUCAGACCCUACGCUUAUUUUAAGGGACAAUAUCUGUAACUGUCCUCUCCCCCCCCCCACCCCACACCCUUAGUAUCUUUGCAGGAAUGUCUUCCACACCCAUGUGUUUCAAAGCAGUUAAAAGGCGCACCUUUUAUUUUCCCUUCCCAAAUACCCCUACUCGUAGUUGCCAGAUAUGAAUGGGGAAGGCCCUUGCUCCUGCCCACCAAACGCAAAGGCCAUUCAUGCAAACAGAGCUGGAGCAGCGAUUGUGUCCUCAGCUCACCCCCUUGUGCUCAGGGGCUGCAGCAUGUGCUAUAGCUCUAGGCAGCUGUGCACACGCUGGGACACCCUGACAAAUCUCUCAAUGAGGAAAAGUGAGAAAGACAUACACCUACAGGUACUGCAAGCGCAGCUGUCUGUUGUGGGACCACAGCAAACCGCCGGAAACCCACUGAAGAGGAUGCAACAAUGUAAAAGGGAGAAGAGAAGAGGACACCCCUUUUUCUUUCCACUUCCACACGAAUCUUGCUUAUAUCCUACCAUUAUGCUUCUCUGUGACAGUCCCCCUGCAGUGCUGUAGUUUUUCACUUUGAAACUAUGAUCAAUGUACAGGAGAGGGUGGGAGGUAAGUGUUUGCGCACACAAUGGGGAUCAAGGGAGGGAGCAGCUGGCUGCCUGCAGGCUCAGCCCUACCACUUGCUGUGGCCACUACUGGGGUAAGAAGGAGGAAAACAAAGGUUAAA